CCUACGGGAGGCAGCAGUGGGGAAUUUUGGACAAUGGGCGCAAGCCUGAUCCAGCAAUGCCGCGUGCAGGAUGAAGGCCUUCGGGUUGUAAACUGCUUUUGUACGGAACGAAACGGUCUGCCCUAAUACGGUGGGCUAAUGACGGUACCGUAAGAAUAAGCACCGGCUAACUACGUGCCAGCAGCCGCGGUAAUACGUAGGGUGCGAGCGUUAAUCGGAAUUACUGGGCGUAAAGCGUGCGCAGGCGGUUAUGUAAGACAGAUGUGAAAUCCCCGGGCUCAACCUGGGACCUGCAUUUGUGACUGCAUAGCUAGAGUACGGUAGAGGGGGAUGGAAUUCCGCGUGUAGCAGUGAAAUGCGUAGAUAUGCGGAGGAACACCGAUGGCGAAGGCAAUCCCCUGGACCUGUACUGACGCUCAUGCACGAAAGCGUGGGGAGCAAACAGGAUUAGAUACCCUGGUAGUCCACGCCCUAAACGAUGUCAACUGGUUGUUGGGUCUUCACUGACUCAGUAACGAAGCUAACGCGUGAAGUUGACCGCCUGGGGAGUCGGCGCAAGGUUGAAACUCAAGAUUGACG
rnacentral:rRNA from 1 species